rnacentral:lncRNA from 1 species
GCACCAAAUAAUAUAGCACCCAAAUUUCUAAUGGAGAAACUAGGAGAAUUGAAGGAAGAAAUAGACAGUAAAACCAUAUUAGUGGGAGACGGCUGGGGCAGAUAUGGAGGAUCUCUAAAGCUCUGGCCAGGCUGCCAGGUCUAUGCUCCUUCUAGGCUGCCAUCUUGACUUCGCCUCUAGGUUUCUGUUUUUUCAGAACACCCAGGUCUCUAAGGGGGGAGGGGUCGUGGCUUGCCUGGACUCUGAUAACUCCUGAUGGGAUUAGGUUCAGGUGGUAUGGGCCAAAUGAUCCCCAAGCCAAAAAAAAGAAGAAAAAGAAAAGCAGCAACCUCCUCCUCCACCAUCUGUGUUGGGUGCCCAGAAACUGGCCCAGGUUACUUUCAAGGGUUCAUUCUAUGGAUCAUGCCCAAGUUGCCCUUCCUGGUUCCAGAUGGCUAAAUGAGAACUCUGAGUCAUGCUCCAGCGAAAUGUGAGUCAUCUUGACUUCAUCAUCAUACCAUUUAUGUAAAACUCAUUAUGACUUCAUUAUUGAAAAAGACACUUGUGAUUUGCAGUGAUGAAGCACGGUCC